AGGGUUUGAUUAUGGCUCAGAACGAACGCUGAUGGAGUGUUUUAUACAUGCAAGUCGAGCGAGGACUGGUAGCAAUACUAGAGCCGAGCGGCGCACGGGUGAGUAACGCGUGAACAAUCUGCCCUGCAGUCGGGAAUAACUGUCCUAACGGACAGCUAAUGCCGGAUGAUAACGGAGUCCACCUGGAUUCUGAUUAAAAGAUUUAUCGCUGCAGGAUGAGUUCGCGUCUGAUUAGCUAGUUGGUGAGGUAAUGGCUCACCAAGGCGACGAUCAGUAGCCGGCCUGAGAGGGUGAUCGGCCACAUUGGGACUGAGAUACGGCCCAGACUCCUACGGGAGGCAGCAGUAGGGAAUCUUGCGCAAUGGGGGAAACCCUGACGCAGCAACUCCAUGUGUGGGAAGAAGCUUUUCGGAGUGUAAACCACUGUCGAUAGGGAUUAAAGCACAGGUUCGCCCUGUGUUGAACGUACCUAUAAAGGAAGCACCGGCUAACUUCGUGCCAGCAGCCGCGGUAAUACGAGGGGUGCAAGCGUUGUUCGGAAUUACUGGGCGUAAAGGGAGCGUAGGCGGACUAUCAAGUCCAUCGUUCAAUUCUGGGGCCCAACCC
rnacentral:rRNA from 1 species